GAAACGACUGCUAAGACUGGAUAGGAGAUAAGAAGGCAUCUUUUUAUUUUUAAAAGACCUAGCAAUAGGUAUGCUUAGGGAAGAGCUUGCGUCACAUUAGUUAGUUGGUGGGGUAAUGGCCUACCAAGACGAUGAUGUGUAGCCGGGCUGAGAGGUCGAACGGCCACAUUGGGACUGAGACACGGCCCAAACUCCUACGGGAGGCAGCAGUAAGGAAUUUUCGGCAAUGGAGGAAACUCUGACCGAGCAAUGCCGCGUGAACGAUGAAGUAUUUCGGUACGUAAAGUUCUUUUAUUAGGGAAGAAAAGAUGGUGGAAAAACCAUUAUGACGGUACCUAAUGAAUAAGCCCCGGCUAACUAUGUGCCAGCAGCCGCGGUAAUACAUAGGGGGCAAGCGUUAUCCGGAAUUAUUGGGCGUAAAGGGUGCGUAGGCGGUUAAAUAAGUUUAUGGUCUAAGUGCAACGCUCAACGUUGUGAUGCUAUAAAAACUGUUUAGCUAGAGUUGGAUAGAGGCAAGUGGAAUUCCGUGUGUAGUGGUAAAAUGCGUAAAUAUACGGAGGAACACCAGAAGCGAAGGCGGCUUGCUGGGUCUUAACUGACGCUGAGGCACGAAAGCGUGGGGAGCAAACAGGAUUAGAUACCCUGGUAGUCCACGCCCUAAACGAUGAGUACUAAACGUUGGAUAAAACCAGUGUUGAAGUUAACACAUUAAGUACUCCGCCUGAGUAGUACGUACGCAAGUAUGAAACUUAAAGGAAUUGACGGGACUCCGCACAAGCGGUGGAUCAUGUUGUUUAAUUCGAAGGUACCCGAAAAACCUCACCAGGUCUUGACAUGCUUUUGCAAAGCUGUAGAAAUACAGUGGAGGUUAUCAGAAGCACAGGUGGUGCAUGGUUGUCGUCAGCUCGUGUCGUGAGAUGUUGGGUUAAGUCCCGCAACGAGCGCAACCCUUGUUGUUAAUUGCCAUCAUUAAGUUGGGGACUUUAGCAAGACUGCCAAUGAUAAAUUGGAGGAAGGUGGGGACGACGUCAAAUCAUCAUGCCCCUUAUGACCUGGGCUACAAACGUGAUACAAUGGCUGUUACAAAGGGUAGCUAAAGCGUAAGUUUCUGGCGAAUCUCAAAAAAGCAGUCUCAGUUCGGAUUGAAGUCUGCAACUCGACUUCAUGAAGUUGGAAUCGCUAGUAAUCGCGAAUCAGCAUGUCCCGGUGAAUACUUUCCCGGGGUUUGUACACACCGCCCGUCAAAUCACGA
rnacentral:rRNA from 1 species